rnacentral:tRNA from 1 species
CCUUCGAUAGCUCAGUUGGUAGAGCGGUGGACUGUAGUGUGUGAGUAGAGGUCAGAGAGAGACAUCCAUAGGUCGCUGGUUCGAAUCCGGCUCGAAGGA